rnacentral:lncRNA from 1 species
UGGGACUACAGGCGCCCGCCACCACGCCCAGCUAAUUUUUUGUAGAGACGGGGUUUCACCGUGUUAGCCAGGAUGGUCUCGAUCUUCUGACCUCGUGAUCCGCCUGCCUCGGCCUCCCAAAGUGCUGGGAUUACAGGCUUGAGCCACUGCGCCCGGCCAGAAGGAGGAAGAUUUUUAAUCAGUUAUCUUAACAUCUUUUUCAUCUAAGACACUGACAUUCUGCUUGGUUUAUUGACAAAGAUAGAAAUGAAAAACAAAAAUGAAAAUAUACAGGGGCAAAAACGACACGGAAUAUCUUCGCUCAGUAGUACCUGCUGGCUUGGAAAACGUGGAGUUGAGAAACCUGGAGCUGCCAAGGCAUUUUGGAGAAAACAACGCCUUGGUGUACACUGCGAUCCCUGGCCAGUACCUUUCACAUCUUGAAUGGAAAGCUCAGUGUCUCUGAGAGUGCACAGCCCAGCACUUGUGAAGAAAUGAAAGGGAUCAUGUUCAUAAUCACGAUAAAUAUAUUUGCAUUAUUUGCAAAGUGUACUGGAGUUCUUGAUGACCUCCUGUUCAGUUUGAUCUUUAAUACGUGUUGUUAGCAGAGCAAGCAUUAUUAUAUCCAUUGUGUAGAUAAAUAAAUUGAAGCUAUAGAAAUUAAAUCACAUGUAUUUUAUUAUCAAGAUUAUUUUAAUUUUACAAUGUGUUAUGGCUUCAACUGUGUCCUCCUAAAAACAAUAUGUUGACAU